CACAGAGGAAAGAGGGGUUGAGAUUGGGGAUAGGUGUUUUACCUAUGUGUUUAAACUCUGCCCUGAGAAAAAUCUGGAGCUUGAAGCUGAAUGUUGACUGAAACCCACUUUGAGCUUGACCUUCUUCGGCUUUUUUGGGUGAACUUGAAGGACAGCUGACAGCUCCACCUCAUAACUCUUGUGGAUGGUAAACCUGUCUAGUAGUGCUUUCUCCAUCCAGACAUGAGAAUAGUCCUUUAU
ensembl:lncRNA